rnacentral:rRNA from 1 species
UUCUGGCUCAGGAUGAACGCUAGCGAUAGGCCUAACACAUGCAAGUCGAGGGGCAGCACAUGAAGUAGCAAUACGGAUGGUGGCGACCGGCGCACGGGUGAGUAACGCGUAUGCAACCUGCCUACAACAGGGGAAUAACCCGUUGAAAGACGGACUAAUACCCCAUAACACAGGGAUCCCGCAUGGGAAUAUUUGUUAAAGAUUUAUCGGUUGUAGAUGGGCAUGCGUUCCAUUAGCUUGUUGGUGAGGUAACGGCUCACCAAGGCAACGAUGGAUAGGGGAACUGAGAGGUUUAUCCCCCACACUGGUACUGAGACACGGACCAGACUCCUACGGGAGGCAGCAGUGAGGAAUAUUGGUCAAUGGACGCAAGUCUGAACCAGCCACGUCCGCGUGAAGGAAGACGGCCCUACGGGUUGUAAACUUCUUUUGUAAGGGAAUAAAGUGUAGUACGUGUACUAUUUUGCAUGUACCUUACGAAUAAGGAUCGGCUAACUCCGUGCCAGCAGCUGC